UCCUAAACGGAAUUUCCAAUUCAUAAUCAAGAUUUCAAAGUAGAUUCGGAGUCUGUGGAGAAAAGACAUUCGAAUAGAGGCGAAUACACAAAUUCCAUAACAACAUGACUAGAAAUAGGUGUAAACAAAGGACAAUGGAUGUUAAGCAAGGUCGGGGCAGUGAAGGGAGGCGCAGCCCCAGCGUAUAUCAGGUAUAAGUGGGACGGUGACGCGAGGCCGAUCUCUAAUGAACCCCUGGGGAUCAACCCUUAUUGGGUUUCAGCUUAGAUAAUCCCGUCAUAAAGUAUCGAACUCGGGACACCCGGUUUACCAGACGAACGCUCUACCGAACUACCUAAGAAGAGCUCCCCUUACCUGUCACCUGUGAUAUAGACGUAUUUGGCUAGAACGAUAGGGAGUUGCUUUAGUAUCUUACCUGAUUUUAAAAUUCUUGAAUGCUCAGAUAUAGCAAACAAACUUGUUUUAUGCUUUUAUUAUUAAUUUGGUAGGUAUGUCCUAGCUUACUAAUUAAUGAAGAGUCGUAUGUGUCUCGUUUUCAUUUUCAUGAGGUGUUCUAACAAAGCGUAAAACCUUUAGAACGUAUAGAUUCCCAAGGUAUUCCAUUUCCAGGAAAGCAUUUGAUAAUCAUGAUAAUAAUAUGCAUGUACAUAUCAUUAAUGCACAUUCGAAGGAUAAACUGGCCGUUAAUAUCAAUAUAUUACAAGUAAUUAUAUUUGCGUUUAAUGUUUUAUAUAUUAUAGACGGGACUCACGUAACAUCCGGGGUACCUCACUGUAUACGUCAUCAUGACGACACAUGAACGGCACGUGGUUCCCUUGCGGUCUGCCAUGAGCUGACGUCACUUGUGCAGGAAUGAAUGGUUUCAAAAUCACCGUCUUCAACUUUUGGUGCCACAGAUUUUGACAGAUUGUCUUUGCUAAGAAGACGCAAAACAUAAAUCAUGAUCCAUGAGACGCACACAGGAACUUGGCACGAAUUCCCAAUCCACGGUCUAUGACUAAAAUAUAUAAUAUGAAACGUUCAUUGUAUGUAAACUUUCUUUGUCUGCGGGACUGCCAUUGAACCACGAAUGAAAAUACAACGCAUAUUGCUGUAUGUAUUAUUGUUAUAUCAUUGUUCCGUGUGCUGACCAGGAAAUUUUUACCCAUGAAAUAAUUUUAAAGCUCCAAAUCACGAAAACAGUAUAUGCUAACAUUUCCGGGUAUACAGCCGUAUCUAUAGUACAUACAUAUGGACCAUGGGUUGGGAAUUCAUGCCAAUACCCUGCGGGACCAGCAUGCGUCACCAUAUUACAUCUUCAUCACGUGACUAAAUCUAAUUGGCCGUUUAUUUUUAGAGCCACCGGAACCGGAUAUUCAGCUGCAAUGGAGUGCUACGUCGAUUGGUUUUGUGAUCGAAGGAUCGUUAGUUCAACACAGAAUGGCAGCUCCGAAAAUAUGCUGUCUAGGGAGUAAAAAAGGCGAUGGCUGGUAGCUAAAGGUCCGAUAACCACGGAAAUAAUGUGUGAGUCACUUCGAGACGAUUAUAUUCCUAUAAUAAAGCAGUAAAUAAUCACUUCAAAUAAAUGUUUGUUACAAAGACAGCUUCUUUAUUUCUUGGACUUUCAUCGCUAAUAAACAAAUACAUUAUUACCUUUUGUGAAAACUUCUCCAUGAUCAUUCAUUACAUAGGACUAAAAAUAUCCAUGGUGGAAGCUCGUUAUAAUAGUUAUUAUGUAAAAUGCAAUA